rnacentral:rRNA from 1 species
CCAGAGAACUACGAGCACAAACGCUUAAAACUCUAAGGACUUGGCGGUGCCCUAAACCCACCUAGAGGAGCCUGUUCUGUAAUCGAUGAUCCACGAUCAACCCUACCGUCCCUUGCCAAGCACAGCCUACAUACCGCCGUCGCCAGCCCACCUCGAAUGAGAGCACAACAGUGGGCGCAACAGCACCCCGCUAAUAAGACAGGUCAAGGUAUAGCCUAUGGGGCGGAAGAAAUGGGCUACAUUCCCUAUACAUAGGGCAGCACGGAAAGAAGUAUGAAACUACUUCUGGAAGGAGGAUUUAGCAGUAAAGCGGGAUAAUAAAGCCCGCUUUAAGCCGGCCCUAGGGCACGUACACACCGCCCGUCACC